rnacentral:rRNA from 1 species
UACGGGGGGGAGCAAGCGUUGUUCGGAAUUACUGGGCGUAAAGGGCUCGUAGGCGGCCAACUAAGUCAGACGUGAAAAUCCCUCGGCUUAACCGGGGAACUGCGUCUGAUACUGGAUGGCUUGAGUUCGGGAGAGGGAUGCGGAAUUCCAGGUGUAGCGGUGAAAUGCGUAGAUAUCUGGAGGAACACCGGUGGCGAAGGCGGCAUCCUGGACCAUUACUGACGCUGAGGCGCGAAAAGCUAGGGGAGCAAACGGGG